ACGGCUAGUUUCACUUGUUCUGCACAUGUGGAAAACAGUUAGCACUCUAUCUGAGUCGUAAUCCCAAGCAUUAUUACAGAAAAAUAAAAGUGCAUUACAAAGAAGUCAGACAU
rnacentral:pre_miRNA from 1 species